UGGGGAAUUUUGGACAAUGGACGCAAGUCUGAUCCAGCCAUGCCGCGUGCGGGAAGAAGGCCUUCGGGUUGUAAACCGCUUUUGUCAGGGAAGAAAUCUUCUGAGUUAAUACCUCGGGAGGAUGACGGUACCUGAAGAAUAAGCACCGGCUAACUACGUGCCAGCAGCCGCGGUAAUACGUAGGGUGCAAGCGUUAAUCGGAAUUACUGGGCGUAAAGCGUGCGCAGGCGGUUAUGCAAGACAGGUGUGAAAUCCCCGAGCUCAACUUGGGAACUGCACUUGUGACUGCAUAGCUAGAGUACGGUAGAGGGGAGUGGAAUUCCGCGUGUAGCAGUGAAAUGCGUAGAUAUGCGGAGGAACACCGAUGGCGAAGGCAGCUCCCUGG
rnacentral:rRNA from 1 species